rnacentral:rRNA from 1 species
GACGAACGCUGGCGGCGUGCCUAACACAUGCAAGUCGAGCGGUUCAAGCAGCAAUGUUUGGAUAGCGGCGGACGGGUGAGUAACGCGUGGGCAACCUACCUUUCACUGGGGGAUAACACAGGGAAACUUGUGCUAAUACCGCAUAACAUCAUGAAGUGACAUCACUUUAUGAUCAAAGGAGCAAUCCGGUGAUAGAUGGGCCCGCGUCCGAUUAGCUAGUUGGUGAUGUAAUGGACCACCAAGGCGACGAUCGGUAGCCGAACUGAGAGGUUGAUCGGCCACAUUGGGACUGAGACACGGCCCAGACUCCUACGGGAGGCUG